rnacentral:tRNA from 1 species
GACCCCAUCAUCUAGCCUGGUCUAGGAUAUUAGGUUCUCAUCCUAAAAACUCGGGUUCAAAUCCCGAUGGGGUCG